rnacentral:tRNA from 1 species
UGGCCCUUGGUGUAACGGUAGCACAGCAGACUCUGAAUCUGCUUGUAAUGGUUCGAAUCCAUUAGGGCCAG